GGGUGAGUAACGCGUAUCCAACCUGCCCAUCACUUGGGGAUAACCUUGCGAAAGUAAGACUAAUACCCAAUGAUAUCUCUAGAAGACAUCUGAAGGAGAUUAAAGAUUUAUCGGUGAUGGAUGGGGAUGCGUCUGAUUAGCUUGUUGGCGGGGUAACGGCCCACCAAGGCGACGAUCAGUAGGGGUUCUGAGAGGAAGGUCCCCCACAUUGGAACUGAGACACGGUCCAAACUCCUACGGGAGGCAGCAGUGAGGAAUAUUGGUCAAUGGGCGAGAGCUUGAACCAGGCAAGUAGCGUGCAGGAUGACGGCCCUAUGGGUUGUAAACUGCUUUUAUAAGGGAAUAAAGUGAGCCUCGUGAGGCUUUUUGCAUGUACCUUAUGAAUAAGGACCGGCUAAUUCCGUGCCAGCAGCCGCGGUAAUACGGAAGGUCCGGGCGUUAUCCGGAUUUAUUGGGUUUAAAGGGAGCGUAGGCCGGAGAUUAAGCGUGUUGUGAAAUGUAGAUGCUCAACAUCUGCACUGCAGCGCGAACUGGUUUCCUUGAGUACGCACAAAGUGGGCGGAAUUCGUGGUGUAGCGGUGAAAUGCUUAGAUAUCACGAAGAACUCCGAUUGCGAAGGCAGCUCACUGGAGCGCAACUGACGCUGAAGCUCGAAAGUGCGGGUAUCGAACAGGAUUAGAUACCCUGGUAGUCCGCACGGUAAACGAUGGAUGCCCGCUGUUGGUCUGAA
rnacentral:rRNA from 1 species